CUCUCUUACCCCCUCAACUAGGUCUCUCUGCUGCAAGUAGUCUGAACCCGCAUCCUGCCAGCUCUUCGCUUAAACCCACUUUUGGAGUUGGUGAGAGUCAGCAGGCUGGCUUUGGAAACAAAAUCAACAGGGAAAACCCAAUUUCUCCCCUCCUAUGUUCAGUACCAUUGAUUAAUCAAGACCUAGGAGACAUACGGGUAUUUAAACCAUCAGCUUUAAAUCUGCAGCUGUGUUGGCUUGCUAAUACCGCACCACCAAAUUAGACAGACUUACUCUGCUGAACGCCCAUCUGCCUCCUACUACAGGGCUAGAGGCUGCUUUUAUUAGAAUUUUGCCGUGUAUGAACAGGUUGGAAUGCAUGUGUACUGUGGGCAGGCUGGCUCUGAAAACAAAAGCAACAACAACAACAACAACAAGAACAAAAACAAAAAAUCAAGCUGGGCGCUGUGGCUUACAUCUGUAAUCCCAACACUUUGGGAGGCUGAGGCAGGUGGAUCACUUGAGGUCAGGAGUUUGAGAAGAGCCUGGCUAACAUGGUAAAACCCCAUCUUUACUAAAAAUACAAAAAUUAACUGGGCAUAGUGGCGAGUGCCUGUAAUCCCAGAGACUUGGGAGGCUGAGGCAGGGGAAUUGCUUGAACCCCAGAUGCAGAGGUUGCAGUGAGCUGAGAUUGCACCACUGCACUCCAGCCUGGGAGACAGAGGCAGACCCCAUCUCAAAAAAAAAAAAAAAUUGGAAGGGUAUCGGGCUGGGUACACUCAGUGCCAUCUCUUCAACUCAUUAAUCAAAGAAAGUGAGAGAGUGGAGACAGGCUAGGGAUCAUGAGGUCAGGAGAUCGAGACCAUCCUGGCCAACAUGGUGAAAAAUCCCGUCUCUAAUAAAAAUACAAAAAUUAGCUGGGCGUGG
rnacentral:lncRNA from 1 species